AGUGAACGCUGGCGGCGUGCUUAACACAUGCAAGUCGAACGAGAACGGAAUAUAGCUUGCUAUAUUUGUCAGCUAAGUGGCGCACGGGUGAGUAAUGUAUAGAUAACCUGCCCUUAAGAAAGGAAUAACAGUUGGAAACGACUGCUAAUGCCCUAUAUGCCUUUAAUACAUAAGUAUGCAAGGGAAACGCUUUAGUGCUUAAGGAUGGGUCUGUAUGGUAUCAGCUUGUUGGUGAGGUAAUGGCUAACCAAGGCUAUGACGCCUAACUGGUUUGAGAGGAUGAUCAGUCACACUGGAACUGAGACACGGUCCAGACUCCUACGGGAGGCAGCAGUGGGGAAGAUUGCACAAGGGACGAAAGUCUGAUGCAGCAACGCCGCGUGGAGGAUGACACAUUUCGGUGCGUAAACUCCUUUUAUAUAGGAAGAUAAUGACGUUACUAUAUGAAUAAGCACCGGCUAACUCCGUGCCAGCCGCCGCCGUAA
rnacentral:rRNA from 1 species